UUAUUUAGAUGUUGUUAUUUGUUCAAAUUUACAUGGUUUCCAAAAACACUGUGAAUGGAAACCUAGACAACCAUCACAUCUAAGAUAUAAUGUGUACCAAUAACCGGUUUUGUUUUGUUGUUUUUGUGUAAACAGAUAUUGCAGAUCUGGAGAAAAAUGCAGCACUGCUAAUCUUACCAUGUUUAUUCACAGAAAACAUCAAGUUUCUCUUCUGUCUGGACAAUCAUAUUCACGCAGCGCUGUCUCGCGAGUGCAGUGCACGUUUUUGAAUUCCAACGGUCGAGAAGAGAUUGAUCCCCGUCUGCUGAUUUAAAUUGAUGGUCUGACAGAAAUAUUGUUGUGCGGAUUUACACUAAAACACGAAAGAGCCUGAACCGCGAAAGUGUCACAAGUUGCCUUACAUCCAUAAGUUUUGUUGUGCUUGUUGCAAACUGUUAAAUUAAGUGUUUUCCGAUCCUAAGCUUAGAAAAAAAGAUGCAAGACUUCAAACUUUCCAGUACUCCUGUGUACUGAUAAUCCGGGUUCCACCCAGUCCCAGGAGAUUAUAUUAAACCUGGAAAAUAUUGGAGAAGAUCAAUUAAGUUUUCAGGAGCACAUUACUGUGAUAAAUGCUGAGCUAUGUAAAAGUCAACCUGCUACACCAACAUAUCAAAAAUCGAAUGAGGUGCGCUCUUGUUAAAAGAGUUGAUUUAAUGACAAAAUCAACAUGAGAGGUCAUGGACAUGUUCCCAUUUCUUCGGGUUCCACAAAUUCUGCUGCAUGAAGUGAAGAUGCGGUUUGGGAAGGACCUUCAUCUCAAUCUACAGACUGCUCUUCAAUUAAAUUAAAUUAAAGUAAAUUUAUUCAUUUAGCAGACGCGACUUACAGUGCAUUCAGGCUAU